GUGGACGCAUCACUGGUGUUCGGGUUGUCAUGCCAAUGGCACUGCCCGGUAGCUAAAUGCGGAAGAGAUAAGUGCUGAAAGCAUCUAAGCACGAAACUUGCCCCGAGAUGAGUUCUCCCUGAGACUUUAAGUCUCCUGAAGGAACGUUGAAGACGACGACGUUGAUAGGCCGGGUGUGUAAGCGCAGCGAUGCGUUGAGCUAACCGGUACUAAUGAACCGUGAGGCUUAACCUUACAACGCCGAAGCUGUU
rnacentral:rRNA from 1 species